rnacentral:rRNA from 1 species
CGACCGGCGCACGGGUGCGUAACACGUUAAAUCGAGCCAUAUCAGGGGAUAGCCCGGAGAAUCCGGAUUAUACCCCAUAAUAGUCGAGGAGGCAUCUUCUUGAUUUGAAAGCUACGGGGAUAUGAUGAGUAUGCGUCUGAUUAUUAGUUGGUGAGGUACGGUCACAACCAGAUCAGAGGGAUCUGAAGAUACCCCAGGGAUAUGAACGGAUCCGAUCCUACGGGAGGCAGCAGUAAGGAAUAUUGGACAAUGCCCGAAAGGGUGAUCCCAGCCAUGCCGGUGCAGGAUGAAGCGUUUCGGCGUGUAAACUUUCUGUUAGAGGGGACGGAUUAUGAGGUCACCUCCAGAGAAAGCCCGGUAAUAUGUGCCAGAGCCGCGGUAAAUACAUAUUGGUGCAAGNCGUAUCCGGAUUUAUUGGCGUAAACGCCGCGUAAGACGGUUNGGAAUUAAACAUAAUUCCAUNGGGUUCAAACCCUNGGUCCAGUUNUUAAAAACUGGCCAAUCCUAAAGUUUUUCGGAAAGGGAAAGGGNCAAGCUUAAACACAAUUAAACUAGAAAAAGGCGUUAAGAAUNACACGGGCAGGGAAAACACAACGUNGG